GAUAAAGAACGUAGCGAAAUGCGAUACUUGGUGUGAAUUGCAGAAUCCCGUGAACCAUCGAGUCUUUGAACGCAAGUUGCGCCUCAAGCCAUUAGGUUGAGGGCACGUCUGCCUGGGCGUCACAUAUCGUUGCCUGAUGCCAGUUUCCUCGUGAUGGGUGACUGUGCAGGGCGAAUGAUGGCUUCCCGUGAGCAUUGUUGCCUCAUGGUUGGUUGAAAAUUGAGUCCUUGGUAGGGAGCGCCGUGAUAGAUGGUGGUUGAGUGACGAACGAGACCCAAUCAUGUGAGACCCCUACCGAAUUUGGCCUUCAUGACCCACAUGCGUCUUUGGAACGCUCAUGACGAGACCUCAGGUCAGGCGGGGCUACCCGCUGAGUUUAAGCAUAUCAAUAAGCGGAGGA
rnacentral:misc_RNA from 1 species